GACGAACGCUGGCGGCGUGCUUAACACAUGCAAGUCGAACGGUGACCUGAGGUGCUUGCACCUUGGUGAUCAGUGGCGAACGGGUGAGUAACACGUGAGGAACCUGCCCCAGACUCUGGAAUAACCCCGGGAAACCGGAGCUAAUACCGGAUAUGACAUCAGGCCGCAUGGUCAUGGUGUGGAAAGUUUUUCGGUCUGGGAUGGCCUCGCGGCCUAUCAGCUUGUUGGUGAGGUAGUGGCUCACCAAGGCGACGACGGGUAGCCGGCCUGAGAGGGCGACCGGCCACACUGGGACUGAGACACGGCCCAGACUCCUACGGGAGGCAGCAGUGGGGAAUAUUGCACAAUGGGCGAAAGCCUGAUGCAGCGACGCCGCGUUAGGGAUGACGGCCUUCGGGUUGUAAACCUCUUUCAGUAGGGAAGAAGCGCAAGUGACGGUACCUACAGAAGAAGCACCGGCUAACUACGUGCCAGCCGCCGCGGUAACAC
rnacentral:rRNA from 1 species